UUUAUACUGCCACCGGGUAGUUAUGCAAUAAGCAUAUCUCUAUAUACAUCAUUAGGUCUUAGAAGAUGUAUUAAGAUAAGCUUAUUUU
rnacentral:ncRNA from 1 species